CCAUAUAACGCUGAAAUACCGGUUCCCAUACGAUCACCGAAGUUAAGCAACGUCGAGCCUGGUCAGUACCUAGAUAGGUGACUGCUUGGAAAUAUACGGU